UAGGGAAUCUUCGGCAAUGGGGGCAACCCUGACCGAGCAACGCCGCAUGAGUGAAGAAGGUUUUCGGAUCGUAAAGCUCUGUUGUAAGAGAAGAACGUGUGUGAGAGUGGAAAGUUCACACAGUGACGGUAACUUACCAGAAAGGGACGGCUAACUACGUGUCAG
rnacentral:rRNA from 1 species